UACGGGGGGGGGCAAGCGUUGUUCGGAAUUACUGGGCGUAAAGGGCUCGUAGGCGGCCAACUAAGUCAUACGUGAAAUCCCUCGGCUUAACCGGGGAACUGCGUCUGAUACUGGAUGGCUUGGAUUUGGGAGAGGGAUGCGGAAUUCCAGGUGUAGCGGUGAAAUGCGUAGAUAUCUGGAGGAACACCGGUGGCGAAGGCGGCAUCCUGGACCAAUAUUGACGCUGAGGAGCGAAAGCCAGGGGAGCAAACGGG
rnacentral:rRNA from 1 species